rnacentral:rRNA from 1 species
UGGGGAAUAUUGCACAAUGGGCGCAAGCCUGAUGCAGCGACGCCGCGUGAGGGAUGGAGGCCUUCGGGUUGUAAACCUCUUUUGUUAGGGAGCAAGGCAUUUUGUGUUGAGUGUACCUUUCGAAUAAGCACCGGCUAACUACGUGCCAGCAGCCGCGGUAAUACGUAGGGUGCAAGCGUUAUCCGGAAUUAUUGGGCGUAAAGGGCUCGUAGGCGGUUCGUCGCGUCCGGUGUGAAAGUCCAUCGCUUAACGGUGGAUCCGCGCCGGGUACGGGCGGGCUUGAGGGCGGUAGGGGAGACUGGAAUUCCCGGUGUAACGGUGGAAUGUGUAGAUAUCGGGAAGAACACCAAUGGCGAAGGCAGGUCUCUGGGCCGUUACUGACGCUGAGGAGCGAAAGCGUGGGGAGCGAACA